GACGAACGCUGGCGGCGUGCCUAAUACAUGCAAGUCGAGCGAAUCGAUGGGAGCUUGCUCCCUGAGAUUAGCGGCGGACGGGUGAGUAACACGUGGGCAACCUGCCUGUAAGACUGGGAUAACUUCGGGAAACCGAAGCUAAUACCGGAUAGGAUCUUCUCCUUCAUGGGAGAUGAUUGAAAGAUGGUUUCGGCUAUCACUUACAGAUGGGCCCGCGGUGCAUUAGCUAGUUGGUGAGGUAAAGGCUCACCAAGGAAACGAUGCAUAGCCGACCUGAGAGGGUGAUCGGCCACACUGGGACUGAGACACGGCCCAGACUCCUACGGGAGGCAGCAGUAGGGAAUCUUCCGCAAUGGACGAAAGUCUGACGGAGCAACGCCGCGUGAGUGAUGAAGGCUUUCGGGUCGUAAAACUCUGUUGUUAGGGAAGAACAAGUACAAGAGUAACUGCUUGUACCUUGACGGUACCUAACCAGAAAGCCACGGCUAACUACGUGCCAGCCGCCGCAGUAAAAC
rnacentral:rRNA from 1 species